GACGAACGCUGGCGGCGUGCUUAACACAUGCAAGUCGAACGGAACGGCCCUGCUGUUGGCGUGUGCUCGAGUGGCGAAAGGGUGGGUAAACCGUGGGUAACCUCCCCUUGACCUUAGCAUAACUUCGGGAAAAUGGGGUUGAUACAGGAUAGAAGAUCCCGCAACAUGGUGUGCGUUGGAGCAUUACGGUGGAUGGGGAUGUCGUCGGUGCUUGUUAGCUAGUUGGUGGGGUAGUGGCCUACCAAGGGUAGGAUGGGUAGCCGACCGGAGAGGGUGACCGGCCACACUGGGACUGAGACACGGCCCAGACUCCUACGGGAGCGAGCAGUAGGGAAUCGUCGGCAAUGGGCGAAAGUCUGACCGAGCAACGCCGCGUGAGUGAAGAAGGUUUUCGGAUCGUAAAACUCUGUUGUUAGAGAAGAACACGGACGUUAGUAACUGAACGUCCCCUGACGGUAUCUAACCAGAAAGCCACGGCUAACUACGUU
rnacentral:rRNA from 1 species